UUCUCUUUUCUGGAUAAUGAAGCUUUGAAAUAAAUGAGUAUCAGGAAGGUGCCCUGAGGCAAAGAAGAUGCAACUGCGUAAGAAAAGGAUCCAAUUUGGGAAGCAGGAGCUGUGCUCCCCCUGGUCCUCCAGAUGUUGGCAAUUUCUCUCCAUCCAGGGGACUGAAGAUAAUUUUGGCUCUCUACCCAGGGCCCUGUUUUUCAACUUCCAAAGUCCUGUAAAGGAAGGACACAAGUUAAUCGCCUGAGAAAACUCUAAAUUCUGACCCCAGUGAGCCCAGAGAUAGCACCAGAGGAAUCUACAGAACCAACAUUACUAAACUGCCCUUAUCUCCUAUCUGUUUACCAUCCCACAAUUUGCUGCCCAAGAAACCCAAAAUCCUUUUACUUAGUCACUUUUCUAAAAAGUUACUGAUCUUUUGUUAAGAUGCCAUGUUCUAACCACUGCGUUGUGUC